UACAGAGGGGGCGAGCGUUGUUCGGAAUUACUGGGCGUAAAGGGCGCGUAGGCGGCCCGCUAAGUCGAACGUGAAAUCCCCAGGCUCAACCUGGGAACUGCGUCCGAUACUGGCAGGCUUGAAUCCGGGAGAGGGAUGUGGAAUUCCAGGUGUAGCGGUGAAAUGCGUAGAUAUCAGGAGGAACACCGGUGGCGAAGGCGGUUCUCUGGGAAUGUCCUGACGCUGGAGGAGCGAAAGCGUGGGGAGCGAACAGG
rnacentral:rRNA from 1 species